rnacentral:lncRNA from 1 species
AAACAAAUGUAAGUUCAAAACACUAAUUCCUCAGCCUCAAUUAUCCUAUUGAUUUUAAUAUAAACAGGAAGAAAAAUCAUGGUAAAUAAAAAUCGAGGUUUCCCAUGAAAGAAGUUGCCUGUUGCCUGCAGAGGGGCUGUGAGAGACCCAGACCCGUUCCUGGACUCAUCUCUGCCCAAUACGGACACUGGUCAGGAGCGGGCUAGGGUUGGUGUGCAGAUCCCUCAGCUCCAGCCAUGGCCCAGGGGUUCACCUAGACCAGCUGGUGCAGUUAUCUUUAAGGUAUCUGUGAAUCGGAAGGACUUAAGAUUUCUCCCUCACUGCUGCCAGCCUGGAGGCCCUGCAGUCUCUCCUCUCCAUACACUCACCGGGUCUUCUCCAAGGUCUCCUCCCACUGACGGCCCCGGACCUCACGGCCAGGAUGGGAAGUUAUCCUAGUACCUGGCCUCCGGAAUAUGCAGCUGCUCAGCCUUCAGCAUGUACAGAGCUGCAGGUUUCUGCUUGGUUUUAGUUCAUUGUUUCCACCAUAAAAUUGGGGCAUAUUUUUUGAACUUUCCCUUUAAAAAUAAAAUGUGAAAUUUGAACAAAAUGGGGGAUGAAGACUACCAUCCAUGGAGAAUGUUCUCAGCUCAUGUGGCUAUUCCACCCUCCUUCCCUCCCAGAAGAAUGUGUCUCAAAUGUGAAUCACAAUCAUCUGGAGGGUUUUUAAAACUCAGAUUGCUGGACCUCAACUCAAGUCAAUCUGGGGUGGGAAUGGAGAACGUUCAUUUCUAAGAUGUUCCUAGGUGCUGUUGAUGCUGCUAGUAUAGGUACCACAUGUUGAGAAUGGGAUUCUGGGACAUCAUCAAGCCCAUGUGAGACACAGACAGAAAGCUCAAGGUCAUUAUCCAGUGUCAAAUCCAGACAAACCUCCCUCCUCCAUCUUGCUUCAGGAUGUUACUCUCUCCCCUUCUCUGUCAUUGUCAACUACACACAUUCUGGUACCAAGUAACCCACUAUCAUUGGGACACAGUGAUCCAAGGGCCCCGUAGCUACUUUUAGAGUGCCAUCUCUAAUGAGAUCAUGCACUGUUCCACUCUUAGAUACCCUCCACAGCAAAAUCCUGUCUUAACCCCACAUUCUCCUCACAAAUCAGGAACUCAAACACCACAUUCCCACCACAAAUCUCCAGUUCCUGUUUUUACACAAAGAACUCUACUGUAAAUAACCAACCUUCAAGAAAACACUUUACUCCAGUAUGAACAUCUUCACAGGGCUCUCUCCUUUCUCUCUUCCUAUUCCUUUCUUUCAAUCUUGGAUUCUGUGGUCCAUCAUUUCAAUCAUCCACUGACCAUGCUUCCAGAUUCAUCACUCCCAUCACAUUGGCCCUGUAAGCCUCUGACUUUGGAUAAUUUCAAAUACCUGCCAUGCCACAUUGACACCUGCACUGAGGAUCACCACCGAAGAGAGAGCACACGAGGAGUCUGUGGAUCCCAACAGAGAAUCAAGAGCAACCAGUGGGCCUAUGUGCGUUCUCUAACAUGCCAUGAAUGCUCUGUUAAUUUCUUUCCAUUUCUUGAGUUCCAUAAAAGUCUAUUUCUUCCUGACCUACUUCAUAUUUCACAGAUAAAUUGUUAACAACCUAGACAAGAACUGUAUCACUCUCAGGUCAUCAGAUCUACAAAUAUUCCUCAUCGGGAAUUCAUUUAUCACAACUUUUCUGUUGUUAUAACCAAAUAAAUUUGUUUCUCAGCUGAAACCAUUCUGAUUUUUAGCUCAUCCUUCAAUCUCAAUGACCUUAUGCCCUCCAUAUUUGAAGUACUUUCAUUUACUUCCUUACUGUACAAAUCUCUACCAUCUACAAACCAAUCCCUCAUCCAGCAUUCCUAAUACUCCUCACCCUCCAUGUUCUCCCUCUCCUCCUCUUGCCAGGGAUUCAUCCAUCCCAGAGCCUCUAUUUCCAAAGUGCCCACCCAAUCCCAUAUCCACAUUCUGUGGAUGCUUCUUUGGCUAUGCUUACAAGCCCAAUG